UACAGAGGGGGCAAGCGUUGUUCGGAAUUACUGGGCGUAAAGGGCGCGUAGGCGGCCUGCUAAGUCGAACGUGAAAUCCCCGAGCUUAACUCGGGAACUGCGUCCGAUACUGACAGGCUUGAAUCCGGGAGAGGGAUGCGGAAUUCCAGGUGUAGCGGUGAAAUGCGUAGAUAUCUGGAGGAACACCGGUGGCGAAGGCGGCAUCCUGGACCGGCAUUGACGCUGAGGCGCGAAAGCUAGGGGAGCAAACGGG
rnacentral:rRNA from 1 species